rnacentral:rRNA from 1 species
GCAGUCGAGGGGUAUAGGUUUUCGGACCUAGAGACCGGCGCACGGGUGCGUAACGCGUAUGCAAUCUACCUUUUACAGAGGGAUAGCCCAGAGAAAUUUGGAUUAAUACCUCAUAGUAUUAUUGAAUGGCAUCAUUUAAUAAUUAAAGUCACAACGGUAAAAGAUGAGCAUGCGUCCCAUUAGCUAGUUGGUAAGGUAACGGCUUACCAAGGCAACGAUGGGUAGGGGUCCUGAGAGGGAGAUCCCCCACACUGGUACUGAGACACGGACCAGACUCCUACGGGAGGCAGCAGUGAGGAAUAUUGGUCAAUGGGCGCAAGCCUGAACCAGCCAUGCCGCGUGCAGGAUGACGGUCCUAUGGAUUGUAAACUGCUUUUGUACAGGAAGAAACAGUUCUACGUGUAGAACCUUGACGGUACUGUAAGAAUAAGGAUCGGCUAACUCCGUGCCAGCAACCGCGGUAAUACGGAGGAUCCAAGCGUUAUCCGGAAUCAUUGGGUUUAAAGGGUCCGUAGGCGGUUUUGUAAGUCAGUGGUGAAAGCCCAUCGCUCAACGGUGGAACGGCCAUUGAUACUGCAAGACUUGAAUUAUUGGGAAGCAACUAGAAUAUGUAGUGUAGCGGUGAAAUGCUUAGAGAUUACAUGGAAUACCAAUUGCGAAGGCAGGUUGCUACCAAUAUAUUGACGCUGAUGGACGAAAGCGUGGGGAGCGAACAGGAUUAGAUACCCUGGUAGUCCACGCCGUANACGAUGGAUACUAGCUGUUCGGAGCAAUCUGAGUGGCUAAGCGAAAGUGAUAAGUAUCCCACCUGGGGAGUACGUUCGCAAGAAUGAAACUCAAAGGGAUUGACGGGGGCCCGCACAAGCGGUGGAGCAUGUGGUUU